rnacentral:misc_RNA from 1 species
UCUCCGUAGGUGAACCAGCGGAGGGAUCAUUAUCGAGUUUAUAACUCCCAAACCCUAUGUGAACUUACCACUUGUUGCUUCGGCGCGCGCUUCGGCGCCGCCGAGGACACUUAAACUCUUUGUUUUUAUAAGCAUUUCUGAGUGGCCGAAAGGCAAAAUACAAAUGAAUCAAAACUUUCAACAACGGAUCUCUUGGUUCUG